GCAAGUCGAACGAGAAAGCUUUCUUCGGAGAGUGAUUAAAGUGGCGAACGGGUGAGUAACGCGUAGGUACGUGCCUCUUAGUCUGGGAUAAGCAUUGGAAACGAUGUCUAAUACCGGAUGUGAUCUUCGGAUUAAAGGCUUCGGCCGCUAAGAGAUCGGCCUGCGUUAGAUUAGCUAGUUGGUAAGGUAACUGCUCACCAAGGCAACGAUCUAUAGCGGAUCUGAGAGGGUGAUC
rnacentral:rRNA from 1 species